rnacentral:rRNA from 1 species
GGCUAAUACCGGAUAGGCAAUUUUUCCUGCAAUGGUUUUUUGUUUAAAUGUUUUUUCGCCUAAGGAUGAGUCUGCGGCCGAUUAGGUAGUUGGUUAGGUAAUGGCUUACCAAGCCGGUGAUCGGUACGGGUUGUGAGAGCAAGAGCCCGGAGAUGGAACCUGAGACAAGGUUCCAGGCCCUACGGGGUGCAGCAGGCGCGAAACCUCCGCAAUGUGAGAAAUCGCGAUGGGGGGAUCCCAAGUGCCAUUCUUAACGGGAUGGCUUUUCAUUAGUGUAAAGAGCUUUUGGAAUAAGAGCUGGGCAAGACCGGUGCCAGCCGCCGCGGUAACACCGGCAGCUCUAGUUGUAACAAUUUUUAUUGGGCCUAAAGCGUCCGUAGCCGGUUUAAUAAGUCUCUGGUGAAAUCCUGUAGCUUAACUGUGGGAAUUGCUGGAGAUACUAUUAGACUUGAGACCGGGAGAGGUUAGAGGUACUCCCAGGGUAGAGGUGAAAUUCUGUAAUCCUGGGAGGACCGCCUGUUGCGAAGGCGUCUAACUGGAACGGUUCUGACGGUGAGGGACGAAAGUUAGGGGCGCGAACCGGAUUAGAUACCCGGGUAGUCCUAACUGUAAACGAUGCGGACUUGGUGUUGGGGGUGGCUUUGAGCUGCUCCAGUGCCGAAGGGAAGCUGUUAAGUCCGCCGCCUGGGAAGUACGGUCGCAAGACUGAAACUUAA